rnacentral:rRNA from 1 species
GACGAACGCUGGCGGCGUGCCUAAUACAUGCAAGUCGAACGAGAGCGACCGGUGCUUGCACUGGUCAAUCUAGUGGCGAACGGGUGAGUAACACGUGGGUAACCUGCCCAUCAGAGGGGGAUAACAUCCGGAAACGGAUGCUAAAACCGCAUAGGUCUUCGAGCCGCAUGGCUUGAAGAGGAAAAGAGGCGCAAGCUUCUGCUCAUGGAUGGACCCGCGGUGCAUUAGCUAGUUGGUGAGGUAACGGCCCACCAAGGCCGUGAUGCAUAGCCGACCUGAGGGGGUGAUCGGCGACAUUGGGACUGAGGCACGGCCCGAACUCCUACGGGAGGCAGCAGUAGGGAAUCUUCCGCGAUGGACGCAAGUCUGACGGAGCAACGCCGCGUGAGUGAAGAAGGUUUUCGGAUCGUAAAACUCUGUUGUUAGAGAAGAACAAGUGCUAGAGUAACUGUUAGCGCCUUGACGGUAUCUAACCAGAAAGCCACGGCUAACUACGUG